rnacentral:misc_RNA from 1 species
AAGUCGUAACAAGGUUUCCGUAGGUGAACCUGCGGAAGGAUCAUUAAUACGUUUUAAACAAACGUUUUAAACUCCAAAAUUUUAAUAGUGGAAAUCUAACUUCCGGAUGCAUUUGUAGGAGUGGAGAUCAGACCUCAAAAAGUCUGGUUCUCCUCUCUUUGAAAGGUGACUUCAUGCACUUUAUUGUGUGUGACACUUCAGAGUAGAGCAGUGAGGUGAAAACUUCGGUUUUGGUUUCUGAAAUACAUCUGUAUCCGGUUAUUUUCUGUUCUACAACCCCUUUUAUUAAACAAUAAACCCCAUGUACAACAACUUGAACUAAACAAAUUUUGUUUUCUCUCUCUGUGAGGAAAUGAAGUAAAAUCUGAACUUAAGAACAACUCUUAACAACGGAUAUCUUGGUUCUC